rnacentral:rRNA from 1 species
UCCUACGGGGGGCAGCAGUGGGGAAUCUUGCGCAAUGGCCGAAAGGCUGACGCAGCGACGCCGCGUGGAGGAUGACGCCCUUCGGGGUGUAAACUCCUGUUGCCCGGGACGAAUACCUGUUUCGACAGGGGUGACGGUACCGGGUGAGGAAGCACCGGCUAACUCUGUGCCAGCAGCCGCGGUAAUACAGAGGGUGCGAGCGUUGUCCGGAAUCACUGGGCGUAAAGGGCGCGUAGGCGGCUCGGUAAGCGUGUGGUGAAAGCCCGGGGCUCAACCCCGGGUCGGCCAUGCGAACUGUCGAGCUGGAGCACGGUAGAGGCACAUGGAAUUCCGGGUGUAGCGGUGGAAUGCGUAGAGAUCCGGAAGAACACCGGUGGCGAAGGCGGUGUGCUGGGCCGUAGCUGACGCUGAGGCGCGACAGCGUGGGGAGCAAACAGGAUUAGAUACCCUUGUAGUCUC